rnacentral:rRNA from 1 species
CCUACGGGAGGCAGCAGUGAGGAAUAUUGGUCAAUGGUCGGGAGACUGAACCAGCCAAGCCGCGUGAGGGAUGAAGGUACAGAGUAUCGUAAACCUCUUUUGUCAGGGAACAAAGGCGGGGACGUGUCCCCGGAUGAGUGUACCUGAAGAAAAAGCAUCGGCUAACUCCGUGCCAGCAGCCGCGGUAAUACGGAGGAUGCGAGCGUUAUCCGGAUUUAUUGGGGUUGAAGGGUGCGCAGGCGGUCUGUUAAGUCAGCGGUAAAAGCCCGGGGCUCAACCCCGGCCCGCCGUUGAAACUGGCAGUCUCGAGUUGGAGAGAAGUAUGCUGAAUGCGCGGUGUAGCGGUGAAAUGCAUAGAUAACGCGCAGAACUCCGAUUGCGAAGGCAGCAUGCCGGCUCCACACUGACGCUGAGGAACGAAAGCGUGGGUAUCGAACAGGAUUAGAUACCCCUGUAGUC